rnacentral:rRNA from 1 species
AUGAACGCUAGCGGCAGGCUUAACACAUGCAAGUCGAGGGGCAGCAGGAGUAGCAAUACUUGCUGGCGACCGGCAAACGGGUGCGGAACACGUACGCAAUCUACCUUCAACUGGGGCAUAGCCCGAAGAAAUUCGGAUUAACACCCCCAUAACAUAACUAACAGGCAUCUGUUUGGUUAUUAAAACUGAGGUGGUUGGAGAUGAGCGUGCGUCCCAUUAGAUAGUUGGUAGGGUAACGGCCUACCAAGUCGACGAUGGGUAGCUGAUGUGAGAGCAUGAUCAGCCACACGGGCACUGAGACACGGGCCCGACUCCUACGGGAGGCAGCAGUGAGGAAUAUUGGUCAAUGGACGCAAGUCUGAACCAGCCAUGCCGCGUGCAGGAUGAAGGCCUUCUGGGUUGUAAACUGCUUUUAUCAGGGAAGAAACCACAGAUUUCUAUUUGUGCCGACGGUACCUGAGGAAUAAGCACCGGCUAACUCCGUG